rnacentral:lncRNA from 1 species
CGCCACAGAGCUCACUCCUGACAUAUCCACAGCUCCAGCCUGGCUGACACUCCAGCUCCAGCAUCCGCACUGCUAAAAAUCCCAGCUGUGCAUCCCCUCUGCUCCCUCCCCGCAGUCUGCCUCUUCUCGACUGGCCCGGAGAGCCCCCCUCCAUCCCAGGAUGUGGCGUUAUCCCUGCGGCUCUCAGGGCUGGCAAGUCCUGUGGGCACAUUGUGAGCGUGACAGGACCAGCUCGCCUGUUUCUGCUCCCUGCUAGUGGGUCGCGGCAUGCAGGAGGCUCUGUCAUGGCUCUCAGCCUCAUCCCACAAGGGCGCAGGCACGAGGGAGUCCGAGGAGCUCAAUUCAAAUGUGAGCCCAGCGAACGUGGCGCGGCAGAUGUGCCGCCCCUGAGAAAAAUGGUCAGACGGAGCAGCUGCUCCAGGGCUCUGGAAAGAUGCUUCCCCAAACUAGCUGAGAAAGCAGCAGGUACAACCAGGCUUUGGAGGAGAAGCAGGUGUUUUGGCUGAAACAAGGAGCCCUGCUGUUACUCAGUUGUGUUCUGG